rnacentral:rRNA from 1 species
UAGGGAAUCUUCCACAAUGGACGCAAGUCUGAUGGAGCAACGCCGCGUGAGUGAAGAAGGUCUUCGGAUCGUAAAACUCUGUUGUUAGAGAAGAACACGAGUGAGAGUAACUGUUCAUACGUUGACGGUAUUUAACCAGAAAGUCACGGCUAACUACGUGCAAG